rnacentral:tRNA from 4 species
UGCCCCCUCGUUCAACGGCUAGGACACCUGCCUCUGGAGCAGGUUAUCGGGGUUCGAAUCCCUGGGGGGCAGCCA